GUCGAGCGGGGGAAGGUAGCUUGCUACCGGACCUAGCGGCGGACGGGUGAGUAAUGCUUAGGAAUCUGCCUAUUAGUGGGGGACAACAUCUCGAAAGGGAUGCUAAUACCGCAUACGUCCUACGGGAGAAAGCAGGGGAUCUUCGGACCUUGCGCUAAUAGAUGAGCCUAAGUCGGAUUAGCUAGUUGGUGGGGUAAAGGCCUACCAAGGCGACGAUCUGUAGCGGGUCUGAGAGGAUGAUCCGCCACACUGGGACUGAGACACGGCCCAGACUCCUACGGGAGGCAGCAGUGGGGAAUAUUGGACAAUGGGGGGAACCCUGAUCCAGCCAUGCCGCGUGUGUGAAGAAGGCCUUAUGGUUGUAAAGCACUUUAAGCGAGGAGGAGGCUACUCUAGUUAAUACCUAGGGAUAGUGGACGUUACUCGCAGAAUAAGCACCGGCUAACUCUGUGCCAGCAGCCGCGGUAAU
rnacentral:rRNA from 1 species